rnacentral:tRNA from 1 species
AAAGUAUCAAGAUCAAAUAAACUUUUAUAGUAUUUCAUUUACACUGAAAAUAAUCUUUUA